rnacentral:lncRNA from 1 species
CUAGUGAGGUACACAUUAUACACUAGCACCCCCUAGUUUAGUUAGAAACUGUGGAAGUCGGUAAAUAGACUAAAUCAGUCAUUCCCUAGCACUCAGUUCAAGUUAGUUUUUCGAGAAUUGCAGAUUCUCAUUGUAACUACAGGAUGAAACAAACAUUCAACUACAUAACCUUUUCAUCUCAUAAUACAGUAUACACCAGUAAGAGACAAACAUGGAACAUAACACAACAGCAAGUUCAGUAGAGAAAAACGCACUUUAAGGUAAACAACGAUCAAUCAAUUGCGUAGACUAUCAGCUUACGUCAAUGGUGACACAUGAUAAACCAUAGACAGCAAAAGAAGAGACCUGUAAACCACCCUCGCUAAAUAUGUGAAGCAAAUUGAGGCUUGUAAUCGCAGCUACCAAACCAGAACCGUUAGCGACAACCUUCACCUCU